AAACUGGGUCCUCAUUUCACCUACCUUAGAAAGGAUGGAAGGCUGAGUCAACCUUGAGCCUUGGAGAGAUUCGAACCAGCAGUAAUUGCAGGCAGCUGUGUUAAUAACAGGGUGCUUAGACCACUGUACUAUCAAGGCUCUGUACUAUCAAGACUUAUUUUCCUUUUCAGCCUAGCAAAUUUUCUUAAAAGGCUUGUACACCACAGAUGCACAGACUGAUCUAGGAUGCACAGAAUGAUCUAGGAUUUCAAUUAGUCAGGGGGAGGAGAAAGGGUUACUGGUUAUGUUGAUUACAAAUGAGAUGGGCUGCAAGUACCUGAAAUGGGUUAAAACCCGGCUGUGUUUGUUUAGAUCUUUUGAGAUAGCCCAAAACCCCUUUGAUGAUUCUGCAAUCUUUCAACCAUGCAGCUUUUCUUUUCCCCCCAAAUAGUCCCUUUGGGAUCUGCAAUAGAAUUUUCUUCAAGACUGAAAUGCUUUGACAUUUGUUGGUAACAAACCCUUUCUGAUUUUUGGCUACCACAGUACGCUCUCCUCCUACAGGACCUUGGCAAAGAUCAACUUUUAACUUACCUGGCUGAGAAGGUGGAAAUGUUGGAAUGAUGAUAAAGGAUGAUGUUCUUGCUUGUUUCUUGGAACAUACAGUUUCUGAAAAUACUCUUCGUGAGCAAGAACAGCAGUUACAAAGACGUCCUGGGCAAAUGUAAUUUUACUCCUUUUCGUAUUUACUCCUGCCACAAUUUUUUUUUCCAGAAGCCCAAAGCAGUUUCUUCUGAAUUGAAACUGCAGAAAAACCCACGUUCUAAGACCAGAAAGAAAAACCUGUAGCAGCUUCUGUGAAAAGGAAGCUGCUUUCCUGACAGUUCACACUGAAGAGGCACUUAAGAGAGGCAGGACUCUGGGAGGGGAUAUGUAAAGUCAUCCAGAUUAACAUAAAGAAGGAAUGCAGCCAAUGAAUAAUGUUUCGUUUUUCUUUCGUGGGAUUUAUUAACAGGAAUCUGAGAUAGUUGAGUUUCAUAUUCCCUACAGAUGAGUUGGAAGCAAGAUUUUUGUCCAGAAAACAACUGUGCUUUUCUACUCUGAAACUUUUAACAAAUCUAUGACAGCAUGUGUUUCUCUAGUGUCUUCCUUGGAUUUACUACAGCAAAAUAAUUUCUUCAAUUGGAAAGGGAUGAACUGAUUAGUAAUGUGCAUUUAUGUAACCAUAACUGUUGAGAGUGGAAGAACUAAGUUCUCAUUAACAAAAAAAGAGUAACUCUUUAAUCCUUGUGUGUGGUGCUAUCGAGAUUUUUUUCUGUAGGGAACAAACAAAAUGUUAAAAAGUUAUGAUGUUUAUGUACUGUAGUUACUUACCAAGCACAUCUAAAUCAUAUUAAAGUAACCACAAUAUUUUUACAAUC